rnacentral:rRNA from 1 species
AUUGAACGCUAGCGGGAUGCCUUACACAUGCAAGUCGAACGAGUGGCGAACGGGUGAGUAAUGUAUCGGAACGUGCCCCGUAGCGGGGGAUAACUACGCGAAAGCGUAGCUAAUACCGCAUACCAUCAGAUGUGCCCAGCUGGGAUUAGCUAGUAGGUGGGGUAAUGGCUCACCUAGGCGACGAUCCCUAGCUGGUCUGAGAGGAUGACCAGCCACACUGGAACUGAGACACGGGCCAGAGUCCUACGGGAGGCAGCAGUGGGGAAUAUUGCACAAUGGGCGCAAGCCUGAUGCAGCCAUGCCGCGUGUGUGAAGAAGGCCUUCGGGUUGUAAAGCACUUUCAGCGAGGAGGCGUUACUCGCAGAAGAAGCACCGGCUAACUCCGUGCCAGCAGCCGCGGUAAUAC